GGAGGGGGGGAAGAUGGAGAAACCGUCUCCGCCGCCUCUACCGCCGCGGCCGCUUCUCUGUUACCCGGGAAAUCCCGCCCACUCUCCGGGCCCGCCCCGCAGAGGGAAGACUCAACCUCGUUCCGCCACAGGCCGUAAUAUCCGCCCGUCAAAGAUUCAGCCAAUCGCUCCGCCCCGCCUGCCGACUCCCCGCCCCUUCCCCCCGGCUGGAAGGGGAGGGGGAGCCGCUCACCUUCUCCACGCCCCUAUUGGCGGGGAGCUUCCCCAGCUCAACCCCGCCUAUUGGAGAGGGAUUGCUGAAUCCCACCCCCAAGCCGCAACCUUAUUGGAGGAAGCAGGGAAGCUCUUCACGUCUCAUUGGAGAACACUACAUAUCACACCCCGUACUAUCUCACUCACAGGCCCAACAAGUCGGCUCCCGCCCCCGCCGGUCACAGCAUUGGAAGGCGGCUACCCCGGGCUCUCCCACCGCCCCAAGAAGCAAUUCACCACCCAUGGAUCAAAUGAGUACUGGCAACUUUCACAGAUAUGGUCGAAGAGCUUUGAUAUUCCUCGCCCACCUCUACUGCCUCUGGCUGCACCGGGAGCUGUGUCAGGUGAGUUACCUGUCCUGCCAAUGCCUGCACUGCAGUGGACCACAAUGGGUGGCUCCGGGGAUUGCCCUUUGGCGCGUGCCCCCAUGCUGCUGACGGCCAGCCUCUGCUGGUUCCUGACCACUCUCAAGAAGUCAAUGAGGGAAGCUGCCGAGGAAGGGACACCAUAAUCUGGCCAGCUCAGGAACUGGAAGUGGGUCACCUGGCGUUUUUGCCGCUCCUUGGAGGAAAAAAAGGCAAAAGUUAAUGAGCUCAUUUCUGCUUGCCCCUGACAUUGGCUUUCCCAGAUUCUCAACACCCUGGUACUCCCCCCACCACACCAAGGUUUCUACCUAUCAGUACCACCCUUAACUUUUCUCUACAACUGCUUCCCUACUACAAACAAAAAAAAAAAAAAAAAUUUUUUUUUUUUUUUUAAGGGUUAAAUACCUGGAGAGGGCAGAAUUACUAUACUGUAAGAUCCAGAUUUCUUCUGUUACAAGCUUUACUCCUAAGUAAUGCCACUGUGAUGUUGAGACAACAUGGCUAAUUGACUCUAAGUUGAAUAUCCUGACUCUGUUCCCAGAAAAAUGGAAGUAAUUUAUCAUGAUCUCCCUGGAAGCCUGCCUAUUCCCUGUGGAGAUUUUCUUUAGAAGUUUCUCCUCCACCUUCAAAAAAGCAAGAAAACAGAAACCUGGAUUUACCUCUGCGUUGUGAAUUUCUAGGAUGGUUUUCUUAUAAUGGUUCAUGUUUUCCACGCCUAGGUUGGUCACUGUGAGGAAGCCAAAUCGGAUCCGAGAGUCUUUUUCUAGUGGCCAGUACUGGCCACACUUCCUCCUGCCGCCCUCCUCAAAGCUGAAGACACACAGAGCAAGGGUCUCUACAGGACUCCUUUUGGAGAGAGUGGUCCCCUCCCAGGAGGAAAAAAAAAAAAAAAAACCUGUGACCAUCAGUCCAGUUAAUAAGGCAGAUGUCAACAUAGUCUCAAGUGUCUACCUGAUCCAAGAAGCUCACUCCUCACCAGCAUCCCUCUCCAACCCAUUGUCCAGUCCAAACCAUGUCUGAAGAGUUGACUUCGGGAAUGGUUCCUGUCCUGGGCCAACAGAAGGUCUGGGGGCCGUGACCACCGGGUCCUUCUAGUCUCAGUCAGACCAUUAAGUCUGGUCUUUUUAUAAGAAUUUGGGGUCUGCAUCCCACUGCUCUCCUGCUCCCUCAGGGGUUCUCUGUUGUGUUCCCUGUCAGGGCAGUCAUCGGUUGUAGGCAGGCACCAUCUAGUUCUUCUGGUCUCAGGAUGAUGUAGUCUCUGGUUUAUGUGGCCCUUUCUGUCUCUUGGGCUUGUAAUUACCUUGUGUCCUUGGUGUUCUUCAUUCUCCUUUGCUCCAGGGGGGUUGAGACCAAUUGACGUAUCUUAGAUGGCCACUUGAGAGCGUUUGAGACCCCAGACGCCACGUUUCAAAGUGGAAUGCAGAAUGUUUUCUUAAUAGAUUUUAUUAUGCCAAUUGACUUAGAUAUCCCCUGAGACCAUGGUCUCCAAACCCCCGCCCCUGCUACGCUGGCCUUUGAAACAUUCAGUUCAUUCAGGAAACUUCUUUGCUUUUGGUUUAGUCCAGUUGUGCUGACCUCGCCUGUACUGUGUGUUAUCUUUCCAGUCACCUAAAGUAGUUCUUAUCUACUAUCUAAUUAGCGAAUACCCUUCUCCCAUCCUCCCUCCCUCCCCUAUCUCAUAACCAUCAAAGAAUAUUUUCUUCCCUGUUUAAACUAUUCCUCGAGUUCUUAUAAUAGUGGUCUUAUACAAUAUUUGUCCUUUUGCAGCUAAUUUCACUCAGCAUAAGAUUCCUCCACAUUAUGAAAUGUUUCACAGAUUCAUCAUUGUUCGUUAUCGAUAUGUAGUAUUCCAUUGUGUGAAUAUACCAUAAUUUGUUUAUCCAUUCAUCCGCUGAUGGGCACCUUGGUUGCUUCCAUCUUUUUGCUAUUGUAAGCAGUGCUGCAGUGAACAUGGGUGUGCAUAUAUCUGUUCGUAUAAAGGCUCUUUUUUCUCUAGGAUAUAUUCCAAGGAGUGGGAUUGCUGGAUCGUAUGGUAGUUCUAUUUCUAGCUUUUUAAGGAAGCACCAAAUCGAUUUUCAAAGUGGUUAUACCAUUUUACAUUCCCACCAGCAGUGUACAAGUGUUCCAAUCUCUCCACAGCCUCUCUAAUCACUUUUGAGAUACAGAAAGAACAGAUUAGGCACAGAGAAGCAACCAGAAAGGAGGGAAAGACAGAUGCCAUGUGGAGAUCACCAAGGAAUGGAGGAAUGCCAGGGUUACAGAAGCUAAGACAAGGAUUUUCUCCCAGAGCAGACAGAGAGCGCCUUCCCCCGGUGCUGGAGCCCAGCAGCCUUGGUGGUACAGUAGUUAAGCGCUAGGCUGCUAACUAAAGUUCGGCAGUUUGAAUCCACCAGCCACUCAGCAGCAGAAAGAUGUGGCAAUCUGCUUCUAUAGAGAUUACAGUCUUGGAAACCCUGUGGGGCAGUUCUACUAUGUCCUAUAGGAUUGCCAUGAGUCAGAAUUGACUAGAUGGCACACAACGAUAGCCUCCUAGCUGUGAGAAAAUAAGUUUGUUUGUUAAAGCCAUCCACUUGUGGUAUUUCUGUUAUAGCAGCACUAGAUAAUUAAUACAGAUGCUACAGAAAAAUGAACAAUCAAGAAAAGGCUCUUGGAAAUUGAAAAUGAUAUCUUAAACAACUUGAAUACAAGUCAAUUCUGACUCAUAGCGACUCUAUAGGACAGAGUAGAACUGUCCCACUGAGUUUCCAAGGAGUGCCUGGUGGAUCUGAAUUGCCGACCUCUUUUAAUUGCAGCCGCAGCACUUAACCUCUACACCACCAGGGUUUCCAGAACUUGAGUAGAGGAGAUAAAAGGUUAAGGAAAUUUCCCACAACACGAGACAAAAAGUCAAAGUGAUAAAAAAAAAUAUGAGAAAAGUUAAGAAAAUAUAACAGUUGUUCAACAACAGGAGUCAGCAAACUACACCCUGGCUACCUGUUUUUUUAAAGUUUUACUGAAACAUAGCUAAGUUCAUUUGUUUACAUACUGUACAUGGCUGCUUUCACAAUAUGAUAGGUGAGUUGAGUACAUGCAACAGAAACUGUAAGGUCCACAAACCUAAACUAUUUGCUACCUCACCCCUUAGGAAAACUGCUCUAGGAGAUCCAACCAGACUGACAGAAAUUCCAGAGAGAAAGAAAUGACAUAAUGUAAAAAAAUAAAGUAUGAAAAAAAAAGUAAAAAUUUUCUUAGAAUUGAAAAACAUGUCUUCAGAUUAAAAAAAGCAACAAGCAUCCAACAUAAUGAAUGAAAAAUGGACCCACAUCAAUGUGAAAUUUUUGAACAGAAAGAGAAAGAGAUUUCCAGAGAAGGGGGAAAUAUAGAUUAGCAAAGCUUGAGGAAAAAAAAUAACAUCAGAUUAUUUAGUAGCACUGAUAGUAAUUUGAAAGGUGUUGCCUUAAAACUUCUGAGGUAAAAUUAUUUCUAACGUAGAAUUCUAUGUUCUAGCAAAAGAGAAAUUUAUUAAAAGAAUGAAAAAGAUACAAGAUCCAGGAAACAGGAUUCAACAAAGGAAAGUGAGGAGGUGAAAUUGCAGAAUGAAAGCUGAGGAGUUUUCAUUCAACUACAACUACAGUUUAUACUGGAAUAAAAGACCAAAAAGUUCUGAAGUGAGGUCUCCAGACCAAAAAAAAAAAAAAAGGAAA